UACAGAGGGUGCAAGCGUUAAUCGGAAUUACUGGGCGUAAAGCGUGCGCAGACGGUUGCGUAAGUUAGAGGUGAAAGCCCGGGGCUCAACCCCGGAAUUGCCUUUAAGACUGCAUCGCUUGAAUCCGGGAGAGGUGAGUGGAAUUCCGAGUGUAGAGGUGAAAUUCGUAGAUAUUCGGAAGAACACCAGUGGCGAAGGCGGCUCACUGGACCGGCAUUGACGCUGAGGUGCGAAAGCGUGGGGAGCAAACAGG
rnacentral:rRNA from 1 species